GCUCUGUUCGAAUAACGGUUAGUUCACUCGGCUUUCUACCGAGAGAUAAGGGUUCGAUUCCCUUACAGAGUA
rnacentral:tRNA from 1 species